GAUGAACGCUGGCGGCGUGCCUAAUACAUGCAAGUCGAGCGAACAGACGAGGAGCUUGUUCCUCUGACGUUUGCGGCGGACGGGUGAGUAACACGUGGAUCACCUACCUAUAAGACUGGGAUCACUUCGGGAAACCGGAUCUAAUACCGGAAAAUCUAUUGCACCGCUUGGUUCAAUAGUGAAAGACCGUUUUGCUGUCACAUAUAGAUGGAUCCGCGCCGCAUUAGCUAGUUGGUACGGUAACGGCUUACCGCGGCAACGAUGCGUAGCCGACCUGAGAGGGUGAUCCGGCACACUGGAACUGAGACACGGUCCAGACACCUGCGGGAGGCAGCAGUAGGGAAUCUUCCGCGAUGGGGGAAAGCCGGACGGAGCAACGCCGCGUGAGUGAUGAAGGUCUGCGGAUCGGAAAACGCUGUUAGUAGGGAAAAACAAAUGUGUAGGUAACGAGGCACGUCUUGACGGUACCUAAUCAGAAAGCCACGGCUAACUACGUG
rnacentral:rRNA from 1 species